rnacentral:lncRNA from 1 species
ACAAAGCUACUCACUGAAGCUGAUCAGAGUUUGCAAAGGGAUUUAGUAAGUCCAAGGUUUCAUUUUUCAGUCAAUUUAGUAUUCAUCAAGAAAUUUCAUUAAUCUCCAGCUAUAAUGCUUUGGUUUGCAAGUUAAUUUUUUUUUUUUUUUUAUAUAUGUGUUUACCACCCAUAUUGCAAGAGUUAAUAAAUAAACCAUAAUUGAUUUAUGGCUUGUUUUGCUUGGACAAGUUUAUGAAUAGAAAUGUUGUAUAGGAUUUAAUUAAAUUCUUUCUUUCCUCCAAGGAUGCCACUAUCUGAAGCAAAUUGAGAAUUUUGUUCAGAAAUUGUGCUCACACUUUGUAGUAUUAUGGAUACUCUUGAGAUAAACUGACAUCUGGGGUAGAUAUUCAAAAGAAUGUUUUCCAAAGUUCAGAAUGGAAACUUUUAAACUUUCAUGCUGCCCUUAAGUUUUAAUAUAUGCCUGGCUUAAUAUUGCAUUUUGGUUCUUUACAUAAAUUCUCUAUUUUGCAUAACAGAUGCAUCUCAGCAAAUUGUAGACCCUUUCUUGAUACAUUUUGGCAGCAGCUGCGGGUAACAUCCCUUGUUGAACUCCUAGAUUGUUCACCGAGGCAUGGCAUGGAGAGGAAGGAGGGAUAAGGAGACAGUGGGGGUGAGUGAAUAUUUUAUUGUAGUGACACCCUGGUGUUAUUCCAGCCAGUCAGUUUUACCCUUACCCUUCUGACUGCUGCGCUGUCUGUGGCAGAAGCUCAGAAAUUGAAGGCUACAUCUUUUCUGCUGCUGGUUAAUGUGAUGUAGCUCAGAUGAGAAAAUAGGUAGAUAUUUACACCAACUUUAUUCUCUGGCCAAUUAAUCUGACAGUUUAAAGCUGUCUCUCCCAGAGGCCAGAUGUGUGUGGGGUGGGCCUGUGUCCAUCCUAUUCAUCAUCAAUAUCCAGAAAUACAAGAACCUAACUGUGCUGAGGAUUCAUCUAAGGAUGUUAUUUAAACACCUGUGUUUCAUGGCCAGAAAACCACUCUGUUAAACUCAUCUGAGGGCCUGCUGCCUCCCUAAGAGGGGUGUAUUGGGGUGGUUAAGAGUACCAGGUCAUGUCCCUCAUGGCUGAAAGAAAAAAAGUAAUGGAAUAUGAAUAAAAACCCAGAGAUUUUCA